CAUCUGAUUAUGUCAUGAGUUUCUCACUUUCUGUGAAAUAGUAUUUUUGAAGAACUGACAUGAUAUUGUGAAUAUUGAUUUGAUAGCAUUGCUUCUUUUUAAUUCUGAAGUGUUGUGUCAGUUUUUUUUCAACCCCUUUGAAUGCAGUUUACUUUUCUAAUUUAUUUUCUUUCUGAAUACCUGCUUUUUUAGAAUUGUUAUGAUACCCAGGCUGAUUUCACAAGCAAAAUGUGGAAAUCUGGCCUCAUAGAGAGACAAGAGGAAAAUCUGUCAUUGACUUCAGUAUGGCAAGGUUUUCCAUCUAUGAUUCCUUGACCUGUCUCAUCCUUGGUCAGGUAAGUAAAUUACUUGUUUUAAGGAUUUUCUUUUUACUUGUAAAAUAGCUGCUUUAUUUCUAUGUAGAUUGGGGAAAAAAGAGUAAUUUUUUUAAAUAUAAAGUCUUUAAUAGUUCCUUGUACAUUUAAAAUGUAAAAAUUGUGGAUUCAUCUUAGGAAAGGAGCCAAAGUUCAAGCCAGUUCUGUCUGAGCUGAAAAAGUGCUGCAUCCCAGUGGCCACGCAUUAAGAUGAAUGCCCAGUGAUAGGAAAUUUUUGCUUCUGUAUCUGUGUCUGAUAAAAUCUUUAAAUAGGUUCCUAUUUCUUGACAUAAAACAGUGAAAUGUAAGCAGUCAGUAUAGCACUGGGUUAAUCACUGGGGUAUUCUGGAAGAAUAAUGUGGACUACAAACCUUCUCUGCCCAGCAAGGCUGAGUUCCUGGGUGGGAACUCUGAUGAGCACUCCCAGGAUUAAGAAGAAACAGUGAUGGAAAAUGGUAGGCAGGCUAUGAAAUAGCUGCUGAAGUAACUAACCCACAGACAGGGAUUGGUGUAUCUUGUUGACCAUGACAAUUGUUUUCAAAAUCUUGUCACGAAUUCCCUGAUGAAGACAAUAGUGUUUUUUCUACACCUUUUCUCUGCUCCAGCAGUGAGAUUUGAAUCUACAUUAUUAGCUACAAUAUUCAAAAUAAAACUACUGACAUCAGCGGAAUGUGUUUACAAUGAGAUUUAUCUGAGGCUGAAGUAGUUUAAUCAAAGUUUUACCUUCAUCUUAGUCUUUCAGUAAAAAGAAGGCCCUUUCUCCAGGGUAUAUCACGUAAACUGGCAACUACAAAUUAAUUUACAAAACUUAAUUAAAAUUGUGCUAAACUCUUUCAAACAUUUCUUUAUCAAUGUCAUGCAUUGAUAUGAAUCGGAAUAAAUUUCAAAGUAUGCAAAUAAAAUGUUACACAAGCAUAAUCUAGAGACUUUUCUUAUGCUGAGCGGUGAUUUAUUUAUUAACUUGUCCAUUUCUGUCAAUUGCCAGUAAGCGUCCCAAAUUCUUUCUGUUGUUUCUAAUAACAGGAGCAGGACUCAUGCAAAUUUGGAGAAAACACAUAAUUGCAGCUUUCUAAAAUGGGGAAAUGAUGGAUUUCUUAACAGGCUGUCAAGCUAAUCUUGCAUCUCAGUUUAGUCAGUCCUGGAUGAAACUGCCCAUUGUGACGCCAAAUAGAAAGUGAGUUGAGAUUAUGAGCCUCCCUUUAGUGCUUGUCAGCUCUGAGUUCUGGUUCUGGCUAUCUCCUUCUCUUGUAGAAUCAUUGUACCUGCAAGAGGUGAGAGUGAUUUUUGUUUGCUGCACCAGCACUAGGAGAUGGGAUGGGGUGUGCAUAUAUAAUAUAUUUUUGUAUAGAAUAUCUCAAACACCUGAUCUGGUGUAUGAAAAUGUUAUGCAGAGCAGUGUUGCUAGGAAUGCUACUUAAAAACACCAACAAUUUACUUAAGAAAACAACAACAAUUUUUAACGAAGGUUAAAUUACUUGUCUGGGUUAUAUAGGAAAAUUGUGGGAGACUUAAGAACUGCCACACAUUCUCCCAAGCUCACAAAAUUAUCUUAUUCACAGACAGGCCUCUAGAAAGGAUUUUUCUAAAUGCUAUAUUCUUUGGAAACUGAACUCCAUGUUUAUGUCCUCUCUCCAUAAAAUGAAUACUUUUUUCACCUUUUCCUUCUUUCUCUCUGUGGCUUAAGGUUAAAGGAGCUGCAGCAGCUGUACCGUGUUUCUUGUGGGUACAGGAAGUACAAGGUAUUGCUUUUUCUGCAUUCCUCUAGCAGGUGUCAUCAAUACCCAUCAGCAAAUGUUUAUUUAAAGUUAUGAUUAUUUUGUUUAAAAUAUGACACAUAACCUCAAGGAUGAACAUGGAUGAAAAAGCAAGCUGUCAGAUACUGAUUCAAAAGGCUCAGGACUGCUCAUCUGGAACUAAGGGCGCCAUGAGGUCAAGUACUUCCCCUUCUUCAACCACACACAAUAACCCUGGCUGCUCUGUAUUUGUAGUUUUAAGCAUUUGCUAUCUUUGGUAUCAGAUUGUUCCACCAACAAUCAAGGUCUGAAGUGAAGAGGAAGCUUUUUUGGAAAGCUUGUGGUCUUAACCCAGGCACUGGCUUGCUUCUUGAAGCUAGAUUUUAAGGAUGGCAAGCUGCAAGUAAAGCCAGGUCAGUUCUGUAUGGUUUUCUUUUUUUUUUUUAUGGUCAGAGGGUGAAGGUGACACCUUCCUAAGGAAAAGCAUGUCAAGUUGUAAAACUGCAGGCAGAGAGGCAGAGUGUAGCUGUGGGGUUUUCUAGGGCCUUCUUUAUAGAAGAACUGAAGUAUGUUGACAAGCAACAUCAUGCCUGGCUUGUGAUGCCCCUUGGGACAGUAACAGUAUUAGUGGCCCUUUGGGUCACUUCCAGUCUCAACACUGAAAUUUGCAUGAAAUGUAAGAAGAGAUUCCUCUCUGGUCUUCUCCUUUUGCUGUUUUAAUCAAUGAAUGAGGAUGCUUAGAUAAAUGUGCCUUCCUCUGCUGUGCUGGUAACCCAGCCCUCAGAGUGAUGGAUUUGAACCUGAGGACUUCCAAGUGACUCUGCUCACUGGGAAAGCUGUCACUGACUGUCUGCCUUCUUCAAGCUGACCACAGUGCAGUCCAUAAAUUUAGUGUUCAGGGAUGUAUGGGUUCUUUACCUGAUUCACAUCAUCCCUCUUUUUUUGCUUUUAGAUGGAAGCAUGGCUUAAAUUUCUCAUGAAGCUCCAGCCCCUAGCCAGCUAGCUAGCUUUAGCUCUAGAUCAAGCUGUAGCCCCAUUGCUGUAUCUGGCUCACUGCUGUGGUAUGUGAAUGUUUUAUUGAACUUUAUAAUGCAUGAUGGCUAUUGAAGCCAGAGGUAUUUUUCUCCGCUUUCAGCACACACUGGAAAGACGUGGAGAACGUUAUUGAAGAGGAAGGAAACAUUUACAAAUAGUAGCUAUGUUAUUCUCAAGCCAAAAACCAAACCAACAAAACAAACAGAAAAAGGCAUAGUUAAAUGUCAGGAAGUGGUUCUUAAGGGAAUAAUUCUCCCAAGGUCUUGUGCCAUUUUUAGCCUUGACCAUGUAAGCAGAGUACAGCAGUUCUUGAAAGACACAUGUGGGCUGCUGGCUCCAUGGGACAUGUGCAAGCACGCUGCACAGUCUGAGUGAGGAGGGAGAGAGGGCAUCUGCGUGCCUUUGGGGAGGGGACGCCUCGGAAAAGCUGUGCCGACCACGGACACUGCCCGGAUGCCUGAGCCAGCUCAGCGUUCCGAGCACACCCAGCCUCUGACAUUGAAAGCACCGGCACAGAGACACAGAGAUGCCAGAGCAGAUGGAGACCAUGUACACAGCAAAGCUCUGGAGGUCCACCAGCCCCUGGAAGACAGUGGAGCAGUGGGAACUGAGGCAUCAUUUGAGGACGUGGGAUGAGUGUGCAGGAUGUGCUGCUCCAGUCAAAGGCCUGCUUCCCAUCUGACAUCUUCUGGCCACAAUCACUUUUGAAAUGUAUGAAAGUACUUGUGACAUUUUGAAAAAAUAUGACAAUAUUUUCACGUUGCUUGGAGAGAUGUGGCUGGAGAUAAGUGUCUAAAACAACUCAUAACGAACUGAAUUGUAAAGAAUAACUGAGACUUAUGUAUGAGUGUUUCCACCUAAGGUACAUAGAAAAGUACCUAGAUAAAGUGUCUGAGGAACUAGAAUUACUUUCACAUGGGAAAGGAAGAGGUUGCAUGAACUAUUAUACUUCCAAUUUAGAUUUUCAGUAGAGAGGUUUUAAGGAGGAAAGAUAAAACCUAAAUUUUGCGGAAUUUGUUUUUGAAACUUCCAUCUGUAGAAAUCCUAGACUUUGGACAAAAAAAAGCAAAGUGACAGAAAUCAGAAUAAACCACUCAGUCUAGCAAAAGGCUGCAUGAUAUUCUAAACCCUAUCUUGUGAUGACAAACCAUGUGAAAUCUGUGCAGAUAAGCCAUCACCCGGUGCUUGUUUCCCCUGUGUCUUACUGAGAAGAGGUGUGGGGAAUAUGCGUAAUUAAUACCCAGGGGAAAAGCAGGGAACAUAUGGUGAAGUAAUCCCCCAUUACACUCAAGUGGGUAUUGAUCAAAUGAAAUAAAAUAUGCUUUUGUAGCAAUAUUCCUCUGGAGAGAGUCCAAGCAAAGUAGCAGGGGAGCUGUGAUGUGGCCUGGUGGAACAUCAUUCCACCAAUUGCUUCAUGCCUGGAGGGGCAGAGGAGGUGGGAUAGAGGGAGAUCUUCUGCUGAGAGGAGCCCAUGCACUGCAAUGCUGAUGGGCAUGAAGGCAGACUUGUAUAGUCUGGGUGAGUAUUUAAGGGUAAAUUUUUUAAUUAAGUGUUUCACAUGGUCUUUGAUUAAGUUAGGAGGACUAAAGUGAAUGUUUGAAGGCUGGAAAAAAACCUACAAGAGACGUUUCUGGGUGUGGUGUGUGACUUAUCUUUUCCUGUUUCUCACUGUUAUUCAGUGAGAAGAUGGCUUUGUAAUUGAAGUUAUUAUCUUUACGUGAUAAACUCAGUUCUGGUGACAAGAUAAAUAGUGUUGUAAGCAAGACCUCAUUUUCCUGUUACUGGUUUCUUUGGUUAAGUAACUUAUGUUAGUUAUGGAGGAAGGUAAGGUACAAUGCAAAUAUACCUUGUCCUCUUAUCCAGCCUCUGUCAUAUUGUAUUGUGACAGGUAAGGACUUAAGGCUUUGACAUUGUGUACAAUGAUAUUAGAAAAUAGAAAAAGCUUAUAUUGCUUUGACAGAGAUAACUUUAGAGUUAACUUUGAUAACUUUGCAGUCUGAAAAAAACUCCAAAAACCAACAAAGCAACAAAACAGUCUGCUUUCUCUUUCUUCACCCUGAACAGAAUUUUUCAGGAAAAAUUACAUCUGCAAAAUGUUGCCUCUUAAAUUUGUAAUUACAAAUUUACAAUUUGAAAUUUUAAAGCAUGGAAUUAUUUAGGGCACAGAUACUCUGGUUCAUUUGCUGUGAGCAAGACUAAGAACAGCUCUGCACCUUGGUCUGCCCCAGGGGACUGGUGCAGUGAAAAUGUCUCCAUCCACACUCAUGCCUCCAGCUCUCCAGAGAAUCUUUCAGAAAAGAGAUGAAUGGAUUAACCAGACUUUAAUGGCAAAAAAGCUAUCUAUUUGUGGCUGACUGGGGUGAUGCCAGUGGUUAGAAACUAAGAUCUAACUCAUGCUUCACUGCACAUUUUGGAUUGGAGUGAAUGGCUGGGGGUUGGGCAGGACAGGAAAAACAUUGCCUUCCUCCCAUGCUGGAAACACACUUGUUUGGGGAUUUUCCAAGACAUAUGCUUUAAAAUUCACAGAAAAUGUGGCAAAACCUGAAAAAAAAAACCCAAGCAGAUUCAGCCAAGACUGUGUUAAUGGAAGCAGCAGACAAAGAGAUUUCAAGAGGUUUUGCCAUAUACCUUAAAGACCCUGGGCUGUUCUUUUGUGUGGUAUGAAGGAAACUGAUGGAGGCUGCAUUGAGCUUGGGGUGAAAUUAGGAUUAAAUGAUCUGACUUUCCCUGUUUUCCAUACUGCUUUGAGCCCAUGGAGAGUGCUCUGGGCCUUGCACUCAGGGAUCACUCAGGGUAUUGCUGGACAGAUAUGGAUACUUUGACCUGCCUAAGUACCCUGCCAGCAAAUGCCUCAGCUUACAAACACAGGGACUUCAGAGUAAAGUGGCAGUGCUGGUGUUUGCUGGCAUACAAAGUGCAUGGAGAUGACAAAAAAAUUGGAAGUCCUGCCAAAGGUGAGGUGGCCAGGUGCCAGCUGCACAGAGGUGUGCUGUGCUCUCCCAGCACCACCACAAUGCCCAGGCACCUGGACACUGGUGUGAAGCCCUGGCUGGUUCACCCAGAUUCUCCCCAGCAAUCUGCCCUGAGCACCAACAGGUGCUGUUGUUGUAACUAACUCUUUUUAUGAAGGCAGUAUGGUAAUCUCCUGUGGUCACAAGUGGGAAACCCCCUCUUUGCACAUCACCUUGUAAAAGCACCACUCACUCUCCCCAGACAGAGCCAGCAAAGGGGAAAAUUCCUCUUCAGACCUAUCAGGCAUGAAUCUGAUGCAGAAAAUGUUCCUGAGAUAUCCUUAGUCCUUCAAGCUGCAACCUAAAAUCCUCGGAGCUGAGAGCGACCGGGGACUUCAAAAGGAUGUUUCUCUUGAGUUAAAGUCUUAACAGACUUCCCUCGGAUUAUGUCCAAAACCAGCUCCAACACCAGCCCACCACUGAGUGGGGCCAGGGUGUGCUUCUUUCCCAGAGAAAGAAAUACCCCCCGUAGAAGAAGGGUUUUUCAUUUCUCCUCUGGGGACGGGCUAUCCUGUGCUCUGUCCAGGUGAGCUGCCACAUAUCUCACCUGCUCUGUGGCAGCAGCAUGCCUGGGAUCCUGCCAGGAAGGACUGCUGAUGGCACUCAUGACAUUUGAACACAGCCCAAAUCUGCGCUGAGCUUGCAAAGAGGCUUGGUGCUGGACAAGGGGAACCUAGGAACCUGCUUCAGGGCUCAGCAAGCAUAGACAAGUGUAGGUUUGAUUAUGCUGACUUCUAGUCACCACAGAGCACCCCAUAGCAUAGAGGCUGAUGCUAGUUGCUCUACUGAAAAAUUUUCACUUUUUAUUUCUUUUUAUUAGAAAAAGAAAAAUAUUUUAUUUCUUCUUAAGGUUUUUUUUUCCUCCUGCAUAUGAGCUAAUCCCAUAACUAUUUCAUUCUGACUUAUAUGGCACUUUUGCUUCUGAUAGCAAAUAUACUUUAGAUUCUUUUAUUUGUCUUCCUAUUAAAUCUUAGUACAAAUAUUUUAAUUAUCUUUUUUGUUUUUAAUUAAUGCUGUCUUCUUGAAAAAUUUCAGUAACCUGAUGGAGGAAACCAACAUCACACUAUUUUCUCAUAUUGUGUUUGCAGUUCAUUUAGCACUGGUACAAUAUAGCAGUUGUGUAGAAUUAAAAAUAAAGAGCGUCACAUUUUCCAGGCUGAGGGACCAAAAAAUCCUUCCCUCAGCUGUGCUGGAGCAGCUCAGCAGGGGAGUUGCGUGGAUGGUGCAGACACGUAGGAGUAGGGAACUUUUUGCGUUGCCGCAUAAUGCCAAAACUUGACGGCUGAACCCUAACCCAGGAGCCUGUGUGUCAUCCAUUUGUUCUUUUGACAUCUGACUUGUUUACAGCAUGAACAUGUCUCUCCCACAUAGAGGGAUUGAAACUCCCUGAAGUCUGACUUCAGAUGCCAGGAGAUAGGGUGGUUUACACAUUUUCCACAGAGGUAGGUAAAAAGUUUUACCUAGUGUGAAACUUUUUCAAGGGUUUGACUUUGCUCAUUUUUCUUGUGGAUUAGAUAGGUGCACUGGGGCUACUGAACGUUAAUGACACUGGAGAGCCUUUACACAGUAGCUGAUCUCCCUAGGUAAAUUUUUGUCAGAAGUCAAAAUUCCUUGCAGCUCAGAAUUGAAGGUCGAUGGACUGCAUAAAAUGAUUAGACCUUUUCAAAGGAAUUCUGCUUUAUCAGAACAUAAGUACAAGGAUGACUUUAGGAACAUUUUGUAUAUCUUCCCAAAUCUGAAUUGUGCCCACAUGGAGGGAAAUCUAAAAGCAAUAAAGGAUUUUAAUAAUCCAAUUAAUAUCAGUCAUUAUCCUUUGGAGAUAAUAAAAUUCUAAGAAUAGAGAGAUGUUCAGCAAACAUCUUGGUUCUGUGUAUAACAUUUCCCUUAAAUAAUAAUGUAAUGGAAAUUAUUGUUCAUAUGUGGUACAAGUAAAUAGCAUCACUUCUUCUUUAAGUCAACUUACACCCACAAGUCUUACAAGAGUUGCUUGAAGAAGAAGGAAAACAGCCAGUUAAGUCUACAUUAAUUAUUAGAAAACAAAUUUUCUUAAUAAACCUGAUUCAAUGCUUUGCUGAUGUCUAUUUCUAGCCUGGCUGGUAAAAGCAAAUACAUAGACUUUUGUGAGGUAUUUGUACUGGUAAUGCAGAACGUUUGGACAGGAAAAUCUAGCAACUCUUGCUGGCAAAAACCUCCAUGCCCAUUAAACUGAGAACUGAUACCCUGGCAUAAUUUCUAAUACAUUUGCCAUAAGAACUCUUUACCACAUGGCUUCUCUAGUUAUUUUCUGCAAAGAUCAGCGCCAGAUUUGAUGUCAUUUUACAUUUUCAUCUCUGUUCAGGAAGAAAAUAUUAAGUCAUUACUUAAUAUUUUUGGUACAAACCAGAGAUCCCAAAAAAAUGGGAAAACUAAGUAUGGAUGAAGAAGAGGAGUCAGACGGUGUAAAAUAGCUGGAUUACCAAAGCAGACCUGCUGAAACAAAGGACUUUAAUACAGGAAAGUACAAAGUGGGAUAUUACAUCCUGAGAGCAACAAAGAGAAUUGGGGACACAGUGAACAAAUAGCACAAUAUAAGCUCACAGUUUUACAGGGUAAAACUCUUUAGGGAUGUCCUGGUAGGAUAAUAGAAAAGGUGUUUCUUGCCCCUGUAUUUCUCAUUGCUGAGAGUUUUUUUUUGUGCUUAGAAUUUAGUAAUUCUAAAACUUUUUACUGAUUCUUCUCAGGUCUCACUAAAAUCACAAUUUUAUCUUUAUCAUGAAUAUUUUUCCACUACAAAUAGGGUGUUUAUCCCGUGAUUAUGUCAGUAAAUCAAUACAGAAACAGAUAAAAGCCAGCUAGAUAAACUUCUCACCUCACUUCCUUGUUCAUGCCACAGUGGUUUAUUCUCAUCUCCCUUGAUAACCUUGAAAACCUCAGAGUAAACAAGUGGGUCCUCUAUUUGCCCCAAUUUAUAACAUUAAUCACCAUGUAAGCCGGAUACAAAUUCCCUGGUACAUCUCAACUGUAUUAUGAUUCAAAGAAGCUGAACACUGAUCUCCAGCCAGCUGCAAGUGGUGUACAGAAAAUUGUGACUCAGUACUUUUCCUCACUGUUUGAAAAAAAAUCCUUUUUGAAAUUUUGAAUUUUUUUUGAAAAAAAUAUUUUCAAACAGAUUUUUUGUCAGAAAAUAAACUGAUAAGGGAGACAGGUAGAUCUUUGAUGCAAUUCCAUUGUCUACAGAGGAAAACCCUAUUUUCUCGAAUGCAUUAUUAAUGCAUGUUGAGAAUACAUUUGUUUUGGCAACUGCCUUGCCUUUAACACUUAUUCCAAACAGCCCUGUCCUGAUACAUCUCCAUUUUGCCUGAUUUUCUACACUGAGAACAUGUUGACCCUGAAACAGGAAUUUUUUUAGAAUUCCAAUAGAUUUCUAGAACACUGUUAAAAUAACCAAGGAAAUGGUAAUGAAGCAAUGGUAAUGAAUGGCAAUUCAUUUGAUAUUUAGGUGUUGUCCAGUGCAGAGACAUGCAUGUGGUUUCACAUAUUCCCUUUGGGCAAGCUUUAUUUUGAUUCCUCUGUAUCCCAUGGAGUACCUGAAAGAAAACAAGACAAAGUGACUUCAGAAAAAUGAAGCGUCUCAAAAAAGUGAUACUCAGUUGAUAUCAAAAUUGAGUGACUGUUAGUGUGCAGUGAGUACAUUCUCGAUGCAGAUAGAAAUAAUUAUUAUUAUUUACAUAUCAUACCUUUCAUCUCAGAAUGCCAAUGCAUGUUUUGACUUUCAAUUUAAUCACUUAACUGCUGAGGAGAGCUAAGUGCUAUUUCUCUAGUUUUAUUUGGAACAAAUAUAAAUGAAAAAAGCGAGCAGUUAUUUACCCAGAAACACAAGGCAUUUAAAUGCCUAACACUCAUUGAUUUCAGGAAGCACUCGUUGCCAGAAGUUUGGAGUGGCUCUGUCAUUUACUGCAUCAAACUGAUUAGUCAGGAAUGUGUAUUUCUUUGAUUUUCUAACUUUCUCCAAGAGGUAAAACAUCUCCUUAGGAAUGUGUUGUGAGAUUCAGUUCAACAAUCACCUGGACACUCCUGGUAGUCAAGGAGGGGUAAGACAACAGAGAUGGAUUCCACCCUGCGUGUCUGCACCGCAAAAGCGGAAUACCAAAACACAACCUACCCCAGCUGUGGUCAUCCACUUACCCUUGAUAUACAGAGAUUCACUGGAAAAAAAUUACAAAACACAUCCAGGGGAUUUCCACACAGUCCUUGAUGUUAUCUUUAGUGUUCUAAUUCAAUUUCGGAAUAAAGCACUUGUACUUUUCUUGUGUGUACUUGCCUCUGCUUCAACCAGCUCAAAACAAAGAGAUUUUAAACACUUACUGGCUCCACAUGCCUAUAAACUUAUCAUUUUCUCAUUUUCAUGAUGUCUCUGAUGUCCUGUGCUUAUUUUCCAUUUAUUGCAGCUUUUCUGGAUUAACUUUAUCUGUUGAUGAUAUUUUCAUAAUUGCAGUAUUAAAACAGAGAUUUAGUCAAUCUUUUAUGCAUUAGCAAGUAUUUUUAAAUAGUUUAUGGCUUUUUGGCUGGGGAAAAAUAAAUCACAAUGUGGUCUAGCUAGACUUUCUCUGGAACUGAAAAUAUUUAGUUACACCCUGAAUUGCAAUAGAAAAAGCCUAUUGAUAAAAGAUUAAGCACAAACACACCUCUGGCAGCUAUUAUACAGAUGUUAUUAUUACAGACUGAGAUUUCAUUGUCAACAAGAAGAAAA